rnacentral:rRNA from 1 species
UACGGGGGGGGCAAGCGUUGUUCGGAAUUACUGGGCGUAAAGGGCUCGUAGGCGGCCAACUAAGUCAGACGUGAAAUCCCUCGGCUUAACCGGGGAACCGCGUCUGAUACUGGAUGGUCUGGAGGGAGAUAGGGGUGUGCGGAACUUCCAGUGGAGCGGUGAAAUGCGUUGAUAUUGGAAGGAACGCCGGAGGCGAAAGCGGCGCACUGGAUCUCUACUGACGCUGAGGCGCGAAAGCCAGGGGAGCAAACGGG